rnacentral:rRNA from 1 species
AACGAACGCUGGCGGCAUGCCUAACACAUGCAAGUCGAACGAGACCUUCGGGUCUAGUGGCGCACGGGUGCGUAACGCGUGGGAAUCUGCCCUUGGGUUCGGAAUAACAGUUGGAAAAGACUGCUAAUACCGGAUGAUGUCUUCGGACCAAAGAUUUAUCGCCCAGGGAUGAGCUCGCGUAGGAUUAGCUUGUUGGUGAGGUAAAGGCUCACCAAGGCGACGAUCCUUAGCUGGUCUGAGAGGAUGAUCAGCCACACUGGGACUGUGACACGGCCCAGACUCCUACGGGAGGCAGCAGUGGGGAAUAUUGGACAAUGGGCGAAAGCCUGAUCCAGCAAUGCCGCGUGAGUGAUGAAGGCCUUAGGGUUGUAAAGCUCUUUUACCCGGGAUGAUAAUGACAGUACCGGGAGAAUAAGCCCCGGCUAACUCCGUGCCAGCCGCCGCCGUAAAAC